UACGUAGGGUGCGAGCGUGGUCCGGAAUUAUUGGGGGUAAAGAGCUCGUGGGCGGUCUGUCGCGUCGGUCGUGAAAACUUGGGGCUUAACCCUGAGCUUGCGGUCGAUACGGGCAUGACUGGAGUUCGGCAGGGGAGACUGGAAUUCCUGGUGUAGCGGUGAAAUGCGCAGAUAUCAGGAGGAACACCGGUGGCGAAGGCGGGUCUCUGGGCCGAUACUGACGCUGAGGAGCGAAAGCGUGGGGAGCGAACAGG
rnacentral:rRNA from 1 species